UGCAGAGAAUCAGCACAAACCUGGGUCAGUCCAACAGCUCAGGAGCACCUGUGCUUGGGGGAAGGGCGUCCCAGGGAGAUAGAAGUGAGCAAGCAUCCCGGAAAGGGAGGCAUCGGUUCUCCAAAGGUGAAACCACUUUCCACUGACCAGGCAUUAUUUCCAGUUCCCCAGAAGGAGUUCUGGCAUGAAAAAUAAGUCUGUAUCCUGCACUGUGAUGGAUAGCUUCUAAUGGAGGUGGAAACGUCUAAGAGGACUUAAAAGGCAAACUGCCCUGGGAGAGGUAACACACGGACACAAUUUGCUGGCAAUGAGGCAGUAGACUGAAAGUAAGCUGCCCACAAGCUAGUCCCACAUCCUGAAAACAGAGGAGGAUGCUGAGAGCUGAAAAACCUUCAUGCCGACAGCAUUCGGAGAAAGGAGUACAACGAAGGCUGGACAGAGAAAUUUUGAUUUCCUGGUCCCUCUGAACUUCUUAAAAUCAGUGAUAACUGAAGUUUGUCAAGACGAUCCCAGCAUGUACUCUGAAAUAGAAAAGCCUCAUUUUUAUCUUGACAAAACCUUCCAAGGUGGCUGUGUUGAUUACCUCACUGUGUGCAGGAGGGGCCUUCAGAUCAACAGAGUUCAAUAACCAAGGCAGGACUUGCAGCUCAUCGCUGGUGGAACAAUGAUUUGAACUGAAGCCUAGCACUCUCCAAAGUCAGAGCUCUUCACCACCAAGCACCACCAAAUCUCCUCAAUGUCUUAAAGAGUGUUCCUCUGUACGGAGGGGACAUGCUAACUGUUAACCAGAGCAUUUGUUGAACAACUAAUGGAAGGAAGGAAGGAA
rnacentral:lncRNA from 1 species